ACACUAGUCCUUUAUCUGAUAUGUCGUUUGCAAAUAUCUUCUCCCAUUCUGUCAGUUGUCUUUUGAUUUUGUUAACUGUUUCCUUUGCUGUGCAAAAGCUUUUGAUCUUGAUGAAAUCCCAAUAGUUCAUUUUUGCCCUUGCUUCCCUUGCCUUUGGCGAUGUUCCUAGGAAGAUGUUGCUGCGGCUGAAGUCGAAGAGGUUGCUGCCUGUGUUCUCCUCAAGGAUUUUGAUGGAUUCCUUUCGCACAUUGAGGUCCUUCAUCCAUUUUGAGCCUAUUUUUGUGUGUGGUGUAAGGAAAUGGUCCAAUUUCAUUUUUCUGCAUGUGGCUGUCCAAUUUUCCCAACACCAUUUAUUGAAGAGGCUGUCUUUUUUCCACUGGACAUUCUUUCCUGCUUUGUUGAAGAUUAGUUGACCAUAGAGUUGAAGGUCUAUUUCUGGGCUCUCUAUUCUGUUCCAUUGAUCUAUGUGUCUGUUUUUGUGCCAGUAGCAUGCUGUCUUGAUGAUGACAGCUUUGUAAUAGAGCUGCAAGGUUGGUUCAACAUCCGCAAAUCAGUCAAUGUGAUACAACACAUCAAUAAAAGAAAGAACAAGAACCAUAUGAUACUCUCAAUAGAUGCUGAAAAAGCAUAUGACAAAGUACAGCAUCCCUUCCUGAUCAAAACUAUUCAAAGUGUAGGGAUAGAGGGUACAUACCUCAAUAUCAUCAAAGCCAUCUAUGAAAAACCCACCGCAAAUAUCAUUCUCAAUGGAGAAAAACUGAAAGCUUUUCCGCUAAGGUCAGAAACAUGGCAGGGAUGUCCGUUAUCACCACUGCUAUUCAACAUAGUACUAGAAGUCCUAGCCUCAGCAAUCAGACAACAAAAGGAAAUUAAAGGCAUCCAAAUCGGCAAAGAAGAAGUCAAAUUAUCACUCUUCGCAGAUGAUAUGAUACUAUAUGUGGAAAACCCAAAAGACUCCACUCCAAAACUGCUAGAACUUGUACAGGAAUUCAGUAAAGUGUCAGGAUAUAAAAUCAAUGCACAGAAAUCAGUUGCAUUUCUCUACACCAACAACAAGACAGAAGAAAGAGAAAUUAAGGAGUCAAUCCCAUUUACAAUUGCACCCCAAACCAUAAGAUACCUAGGAAUAAACCUAACCAAAGAGGCACAGAAUCUAUACUCAGAAAACUAUAAAGUACUCAUGAAAGAAAUUGAGGAAGACACAAAGAAAUGGAAAAAUGUUCCAUGCUCCUGGAUUGGAAGAAUAAAUAUUGUGAAAAUGUCUAUGCUACCUAAAGCAAUCUACACAUUUAAUGCAAUUCCUAUCAAAGUACCAUCCAUCUUUUUCAAAGAAAUGGAACAAAUAAUUCUAAAAUUUAUAUGGAACCAGAAAAGACCUCAAAUAGCCAAAGGGAUAUUGAAAAAGAAAGCCAAAGUUGGUGGCAUCACAAUUGCGAAUAAUGUUUUUUAACAGCGCGCUCGGGGCCUUGAGAGUUACUUAACCUCUUGAUUACUGUUGAAGAAAAUAAGGCACAGAGAAGCUAAGUAAUUUCCCAUCUUUCAAGAUCUCAAAACUGAGUUUGAUCCCAGGCUGCCAAUCACUGAGAAGAAUCAGAAGUCAUGAAUGCACCAGCCACUCCCAGACGGAAUCCGAAUGUAGUACUAGCCCAGAGAGAAGCAGGCUCUGCCUCACCACCCCUCCCCCAAAGGUAGUUAUGACCCGAUCUUCACAGGAGAGUUAUAGACCAGGUUGGAAUCAGGUGAAAGCCUCGAGGUGCUGAAGAAUGAGUCAAGACACCUUCAGAGGUGGAGUUCUCCAGAGACCCCCUCAGAGUCUGGAGAUGGCGCCCAAGACCUCUGGCACCUCCCAAGGGAGGAGAUACUCACUCACAGCAAGAGUGAAGAGCCGGCAAUCACCAGGAACCAAGCCCAGUCGAGACAGCAGGGAUUUGCCCACCUUAGGAAGGUGGGCUGACGCUUCUAAUUUAUGAGAUGGCUCCCCGGGGGGGACCCAAAAGGGAGGAAAAAAGUCAUUAACUACGGGUAUCGUAGUCACAUGGAUACACACGUGGGGUACCUUUCAGGUUAGGAUUUGUGUUUUAUGCCACUACCACUUGUUGCCAGUAGAGUUCCGACAGGAGAAAGACGUGUUCUAGUCUGAGGGCUGCCGGUCUAUAAAGAAGUCAAAGUGGCCAGAGGAUUUUUAGGUCAAGGUGAGUUUAUUGUCCAAAUAGCAUAACCUAAUUGCAUCCAAAACCAUUUGCAAAUCCAUCUUUAAGCUGGUCAGAAUAACAGGCCAUUAUUUUUUUUUAAUCGCUUAACACUGAACAGGCAGGACCUCUUCAAAGGCAGCUGACUAUACCAUGUCACCAUCAUAACCAAUAAAACAUUUUUUUCCAUACUUCCUAAAAACCUUUUGCUUAUACUGAUCAUGCUACUUUAGCACUUGCUAGCAUCCCGACCAAAUAAACACCCACACCUCUUAUAGAGUACAUUGUGAGAGAAUAACAUUGACUCGAUAUGGCAUCACACUCAUUUUAAAGCAAAAAAAAAAAAAAAUUAUAAUAAUAAUAAAAGAAGUCCAAGACGAGAAACUGUAACUGAGAGAGAAAGAGAUCUGAGGUACACGGUACAAGGGUAAUGAACAUAAUGGAAAAAAUCCAAUGGCCCAGUGAUUUGCUGGGGACUUAAGAGUUGGCCAACAGUAAGAAACAAAAACCAAUUAAAACAAAACAAAACAAACAAUUUUUUUUU